rnacentral:rRNA from 1 species
CGUAGGGUGCGAGCGUUAAUCGGAAUUACCGGGCGUAAAGCGUGCGCAGGCGGUUUUGUAAGACAGAUGUGAAAUCCCCGGGCUCAACCUGGGACCUGCAUUUGUGACUGCAAGGCUAGAGUACGGUAGAGGGGGAUGGAAUUCCGCGUGUAGCAGUGAAAUGCGUAGAUAUGCGGAGGAACACCGAUGGCGAAGGCAAUCCCCUGGACCUGUACUGACGCUCAUGCACGAAAGCGUGGGGAGCAAACAGGAUUAGAUACCCUGGUAGUCCACGCCCUAAACGAUGUCAACUGGUUGUUGGGUCUUUACUGACUCAGUAACGAAGCUAACGCGUGAAGUUGACCGCCUGGGGAGUACGGCCGCAAGGUUG